CCUACGGGGGGCAGCAGUGAGGAAUAUUGGUCAAUGGGCUUACGCCUGAACCAGCCAAGUCGCGUGAGGGAAGACUGCCCUAUGGGUUGUAAACCUCUUUUGUCAGGAAGCAAUUGGCCCUCCGUGUAGCGUUAUCGAGUGUACCUGAAGAAAAAGCAUCGGCAAACUCCGUGCAUGCAGCCGCGGUAAUACGGAGGAUGCGAGCGUUAUCCGGAUGUAUUGGGUUGAAAGGGGGCGUAGGCGGAAUGCCAUGUCAGCGGGAAAAUCGCGGGGCCAAACCACGCAGCGCCGUUGAAACUGGCGUUCUGGAGUGGGCGAGAGGUAUGCGGAAUGCGUGGUGUAGCGGUGAAAGGCAUAGAUAUAACGAAGAACACCGAUUGCGAAGGCAGCAGACCGGCGCCCAACUGACGCUGAGGCACGAAAGCGUGGGUAUCGAACAGGAUUAGAUACCCGAGUAGUC
rnacentral:rRNA from 1 species